rnacentral:rRNA from 1 species
UACGUAGGGGGCAAGCGUUGUCCGGAUUUAUUGGGCGUAAAGAGCGUGUAGGCGGCUUGGUAGGUCCGCUGUGAAAACUCGAGGCUCAACCUCGAGAUGUCGGCGGAAACCACUUGGCUAGAGUCCGGAAGAGGAGAGUGGAAUUCCUGGUGUAGCGGUGAAAUGCGCAGAUAUCAGGAAGAACACCCGUGGCGAAGGCGGCCCCCUGGGCCCGCGCCUGACGCUGAUGACGC